rnacentral:rRNA from 1 species
CGAACGAUGAAGCCCUUCGGGGUGGAUUAGUGGCGAACGGGUGAGUAACACGUGGGCAAUCUGCCCUUCACUCUGGGACAAGCCCUGGAAACGGGGUCUAAUACCGGAUAAUACUUUCCUCCUCCUGGAGGAAGGUUGAAAGCUCCGGCGGUGAAGGAUGAGCCCGCGGCCUAUCAGCUAGUUGGUGGGGUAAUGGCCUACCAAGGCGACGACGGGUAGCCGGCCUGAGAGGGCGACCGGCCACACUGGGACUGAGACACGGCCCAGACUNAUACGGGAGGCAGCAGUGGGGAAUAUUGCACAAUGGGCGAAAGCCUGAUGCAGCGACGCCGCGUGAGGGAUGACGGCCUUCGGGUUGUAAACCUCUUUCAGCAGGGAAGAAGCGAAAGUGACGGUACCUGCAGAAGAAGCGCCGGCUAACUACGUGCCAGCAGCCGCGGUAAUACGUAGGGCGCAAGCGUUGUCCGGAAUUAUUGGGCGUAAAGAGCUCGUAGGCGGCUUGUCACGUCGGUUGUGAAAGCCCGGGGCUUAACCCCGGGUCUGCAGUCGAUACGGGCAGGCUAGAGUGUGGUAGGGGAGAUCGGAAUUCCUGGUGUAGCGGUGAAAUGCGCAGAUAUCAGGAGGAACACCGGUGGCGAAGGCGGAUCUCUGGGCCAUUACUGACGCUGAGGAGCGAAAGCGUGGGGAGCGAACAGGAUUAGAUACCCUGGUAGUCCACGCCGUAAACGUUGGGAACUAGGUGUUGGCGACAUUCCACGUCGUCGGUGCCGCAGCUAACGCAUUAAGUUCCCCGCCUGGGGAGUACGGCCGCAAGGCUAAAACUCAAAGGAAUUGACGGGGGCCCGCACAAGCAGCGGAGCAUGUGGCUUAAUUCGACGCAACGCGAAGAACCUUACCAAGGCUUGACAUACACCGGAAAGCAUCAGAGAUGGUGCCCCCCUUGUGGUCGGUGUACAGGUGGUGCAUGGCUGUCGUCAGCUCGUGUCGUGAGAUGUUGGGUUAAGUCCCGCAACGAGCGCAACCCUUGUUCUGUGUUGCCAGCAUGCCCUUCGGGGUGAUGGGGACUCACAGGAGACUGCCGGGGUCAACUCGGAGGAAGGUGGGGACGACGUCAAGUCAUCAUGCCCCUUAUGUCUUGGGCUGCACACGUGCUACAAUGGCUGGUACAAUGAGCUGCGAUGCCGCGAGGCGGAGCGAAUCUCAAAAAGCCGGUCUCAGUUCGGAUUGGGGUCUGCAACUCGACCCCAUGAAGUCGGAGUUGCUAGUAAUCGCAGAUCAGCAUUGCUGCGGUGAAUACGUUCCCGGGCCUUGUACACACCGCCCGUCANGUCACGAAAGUCGGUAACACCCGAAGCCGGUGGCCCAACCCCUUGUGGA